rnacentral:lncRNA from 1 species
GGAAAAGAGAAUCCAGGUGCUACAGCCCAAAGAAAAAGAAAGAGACUGUCCGGGCGUGGUGGCUCACACCUGUAUUCCCAGCACUUUGGGAGGCCAAGGCGGGUGGAUCACUUGAGGUCAGGAAUUCCAGACCAACCUGACCAACAUGGUGAAACCCCGUCUCCACUAAAAAUACAAAAAUUAGCUGUGUGUGGUGGCGGGCGCCUGUAGAACCAGCUGUUCGGGAACCUGAGGCUGGAGAAUCCCUUGAACCCGGGAGCCGGAGGUUGCAGAGAGCAGAGAUCACGCCGUUGCACUCCAGGCUGGGCGACAGCAAGACUCCAUCUCAAAAAAAGCUCUCCGUGCAUCACUAAUGUAAGGAUAGACUUUGAAUGACUGUCUUGGAGACAUCUAUGGGAUAAAAGAGAAGCAUGGGCUCUGGAAUCUGAAGAUUCUAUUCCAUUUCUGCCUCUGUGUUGUGGCUGUGUGAUGCUGGCAAAUUACAGACCUCAAGUUGAAAUAAUGAGCAUCAUAAUUACCCAUGCCCUGCCUUCCUUAAACUGCCCCCAUCCCCAAACUUCUACGAGGGCUCACAAAGAAGCUGCUUCACUCACCCAGUCGCUGCCCUGCAUCCCUGUCCAGAACUCUGCCUGCACCCUGCCCCACCCUCCCAACUCUCUCCUGCCACGUCUGCAGCUCUGCAGGCAGAGAGGGAUAAUUCCAAACCGCAGCAAUGGACAGGGACUCCGGGCAGCAACUCAAGGGCACAGUAACAAUAAUGGAUGUUAAGUGCUUAUUCGGGGACAAGUAGAUCGUAGCUGCUCCAUGAUUUAUUCCUGUCCCCUAUGAAUAUUCUCCAAGUAAAAUAAAAGGUUUAGAUCUGCGCUACCGCAUACAACAGUUACUUGUCCCAUGUGGCUGGUGCCAGUGAGGCAUGCUCUAAGUGUAAAACCCACACAGUCUCCAAAGACUUCACAGGAAAAGCAGAUGGACAAUAUUGUUUUAGUCCACGCAGGCUGCUAUAACAAAGUACCACAAACUGGGUAGCUUAUAAACAACAGAAAUUUAUUUCUCACAGUUCUAGAGGCUGGAAAGUCCAAGAUCAGGGCCCCUAGCAGAUUCUGUGCCUGACAAGGGCCCACUUUCUGUUUCACAGAUGGCACCUUUUCUUUCUAUCCUUACAUGGUAGAAGGGGUGAGGGAGUCUCUCUCAGUCCUCUUUUUUUUUUUUUUUGAAUCAGAGUCUCGCUCUGUUAUCCAGGCAGGAGUGCAGUGGUGAGUGGUGUGAUCAUGGCUCAUUGCAAUCUCCGCCUCCCUGAUUCAAGCAGCCAUUCUCCCACCUCGGCCUCCUGAGCUCAAGUGAUUCUCCUGCCUCAGACUCUUGAGUAGCUGGGAUUACAGGUACACACCACUAGGCCCGGCUAAUUUUUGUAUUUUUAGUAGAGAUGGGGUUUCACCAUGUUGGCCAGGCUGGUCUCAAACUCCUGACCUCAGGUGAUCCGCCCACCUCGGCCUCCCAAAGUGCUGCUAUUACAGGUGUGAGCCACCACACCUGGCCUCAGGCCUCUUUUUAAAAAAAAUUAUUUAUGUAUUUAUUUAUUUUCAUAGAGAUGUAGUUUUGCUAUGUUGCCCCGGCUGAUCUCCAACUGCUGGCCUCAAGUGAUCCUCCUGCCUUAGCCUCCUGAGUGCUAGGAUUACAGGCCUUUCCUAUAAGGGCUCUAACCCCAUUCUGAGGGCCCCACCCUCAUGACCUAAUCACCUCCCAAAGGCCCCACUUUCUAACACCAUCACUUUGGAGGUUAGGAUUUCAACAUAUAAAUUUUGAGGAGAAACAAACAUUCAGACCAUAGCAAGUACUUUCAUUAAUACUUUUUGUUUGAUUAUAUGUUCAGAUCAUAAUAGAUUUGAUAUAUUAGGUUAAGUAAAAAUAUAUUAUUAAAAUUAAUGUAGCUACUGAAAGUUUCAAAUUAUAUGUAUAACGUACAUUAUAUUUCUAUAGGAGGACAGUAUUGGUCUUUACACAGAUUUUAAGGUUCUGUCCUGCUAUGAGGUUCCAUGAUUCAAAUACGAGCAGUCUUAGAGGGGAAAAGAAGUUCCAGGCAAGCCUUGCACUUAGCCAUCCAAUCCUAGGGAAUUAUCCUACAGAAACACACAUGGGGAUCUGCACGAUGCGUGUAUGUUUGUAGUAUUGUUUGUAGCAUGAAGAAAAAGGCUGAAAACAAACUAAAUGUUCAACAGAAAGGAACUGGUUAAUAAAUGAUAGUACAUCCAUGGGACAUGUACAGGCAUUAAAAAGGCAAGAUAUUUCCCGUAAGAAUCACCUGAGACACUUAUUAAAAAUAUCAAUAUAGGCCAGGUAUGGUGGCUCAUGCUUGUAAUCCCAGCACUUUGGGAGGCCAAGCUCAGAGGAUCACUUAAAGCCAGGAGUCUGAAACCAGCCUGGGCAACAUAGCAAGACCCUGUCUCUACAAAAAAAUUAAAAACAGCCAGGUGUGGUGGCACAUGCCUGUAGUUUCAGCUACAUGGGAAGCUGAGGUGGGAGAAUCACUUGAGCCCGGGAGAUUGAGGCUGCAGUGAGCUACGAUUGUGCCCUUGAACUCCAGCCUUGGGAACAGAACAAGACCCUGUUUCUCUCUCUCUCUCUCUCUCUCUGUCUCUCUCUCUCUCUCCACACACACACACAAAGACUUCCCCAGGUGCCUCCCUGAGAAAUUCUCAUUCAGCAGGUUUGAAGUGAGACCUGUCAAUCUCAAUGUUUAAAAAGCACCCCUGAGAGAUUCUGAUUUCCAGACAAGUUUCCAGACACUAAAACAAUUGGUAAGUAUAUAUAACUGCAUGGAAAAAAUAUGCAAGAUAGUGUUUGGACUUAUAUUCUAUGAUGCAUUUUUGUUUAUAAAACAGGAUUGCAUAUGUAUGUUUGUGUGUAGAAAUACACACACUGAUGUAUAGAAAAGAUUUGGAAGGACAUAAGCCCAGCUGCUAUAGGUGAUUACCUCUUGGAAACGGGAAAAAAGAAAUGGGCUUUGCAUUUUUACUUGCAUACUUCAAUGUUUGUUUGUUUAUGCAUCACUUACAGGAGGGGGACAAGAACCCCCUCGUGAUUUCAUCAGUUCCCAAGUGUUUGGGGAGGGUGAGCAAUGGAGGAAGCCAGGGGUGAGGCAGUCAGCUGCGCUCACAGCCAUGGCGUCACACCCCAGGGACUGCCCAUUGUGAAGUCCCUUGGGGUGCCCCCUCCCUGCACUCUCAUUCUUCCCACUAGCCCCAGACGGGCUCUGCCAUCAACCUGCAGCUCCUCCUGAGCUGCGGCUCUUCCCGCUCUGCCCCCAACACAAGGAGAGCCCCGACUUGGGAGGAGGGCUUUUCAGAUCGCAGCUUGGCCUGAGGCAGAGCCAGAGCGAUGAGGUCACCCAGCACAGCUGCUAACUAUUUCAAGGAAACAGAACCGUGGUCUCAGCCCUGGCUGCAUAUUCCUUCAACGGGAGGGCUUUAGAAAUGCUGUGCCAGAGCUGCACCCCAGACCAACAAAAUCAGACUCUCCAGGAUGCGGCCAAGGCAUCAGUAUGUGGAAAGCUUUCAGGAAAACUGAGCAAAAUGAAAGCCAAUUCAAAGAAGAAGGAAUUAAGUACAUAAUUGUGCAGAUGAUACAUGGAAAUGGUAAGAAUGGUGACAAUGGGACGUAAGUGACUGAAAUUUGGGAUACAUUGGAUUAGAAGAAAAUAAGCCCCCAAGAAACCGGAAUAAGUCUGGAGGGCAGCAAGAGUGACUGUCCAGCUAAGAACCUCAUCAGCAAUACAAAACAUUGUCACAGAUGUUGAAACAGACCCUGAGGUUAAUGCAUUCUUUCCAACAUUAGGUCCUAAAACUUCUCCUGAAAAGCUACCUUAAAUCUAACUUUUGAAAGUGCACAAUAAAGGUGAAUUAAAUAAAAGCAACUUGAAAUUU